rnacentral:rRNA from 1 species
UACGUAGGGUGCAAGCGUUGUCCGGAAUUAUUGGGCGUAAAGAGCUCGUAGGCGGUCUGUCGCGUCUGGUGUGAAAACUCAGGGCUUAACCCUGAGCUUGCAUCGGGUACGGGCAGACUAGAGUGCGGUAGGGGAGACUGGAAUUCCUGGUGUAGCGGUGAAAUGCGCAGAUAUCAGGAGGAACACCGGUGGCGAAGGCGGCAUCCUGGACCGGCAUUGACGCUGAAGCGCGAAAGCUAGGGGAGCAAACGGG